CGCAUACAAAGAGAAGCGACCUCGCGAGAGCAAGCGGACCUCAUAAGUGCGUCGUAGUCCGGAUUGGAGUCUGCAACUCGACUCCAUGAAGUCGGAAUCGCUAGUAAUCGUGGAUCAGAAUGCCACGGUGAAUACGUUCCCGGGCCUUGUACACACCGCCCGUCACACCAUGGGAGUGGGUUGCAAAAGAAGUAGGUAGCUUAACCUUCGGGAGGGCGCUUACCACUUUGUGAUUCAUGACUGGGGUGAAGUCGUAACAAGGUAACCGUAGGGGAACCUGCGGUUGGAUCACCUCCUUACCUUAAAGAA
rnacentral:rRNA from 1 species